rnacentral:lncRNA from 1 species
AAGUAAGGUUUCUACACUUACUCAAAGUGGCAGUGUCAACACCAGUAGCUUGUGGUAUGGACUGAGGGGUCUCCCUGGGCUGGGCCGAGCAGGAGGAGGCUGAGCAGUGAAAACGGUGACCCCUGCCCUCACGGAGCUAACGAGAAGAGCAAAUGGCUGGCAACGGUGCAUGACACAGAAUGAGCAACGGGCUGCACACAUCGCGAUUUACGUGGCUUUGGAAAAAACGCGUCUCACAAGUUGGGGCUGUCAUACAUUGGCUUCUUGGUAAUCAAUGCGUUUCAGCAAUAUAUGGGGGUGAGUUUAGUUUCCAGUUGGCUUCCCUGAGGGUGUUGGAUAAAAUUGCAAUUUAGAUUCAAUCAAUACACAUUUAGUGAGCACCUAUUCUUUGCCUGAACGAUUGUGGGCAUUGUGGGGGAUACAAAGGGAGACAUCGUGGGUGGAGCUUACCAUGGAAACAACUGUCUCUUGCUCCAUGGUGUUUACCUUGCCUUGGAAAAUAAACAACGUAAACAUUUUUUUGUGACAACGGAGACAGGAUUGAGAGACUUGCACAGACUUCCUUUCCCAAAACUUCUGCAGACUAAAAUUCUACCAUUAGCUAUUAAUUUCUUUGACUAAAUUUUGUCCUCACUCUGCAGUUUCUUUUUUCUAAAGUAAAAAUACUUCUAGAAAGAGAACACGACGUCCUUAACCUCUUAAAACAGAAAUGACAUAUAAAUCGACUUGCACACCAAUUUGGGCCCUUGGAUAUUUGUUGCCUGAAGAGCUGUGUUGAAAAGGCCUCUGAGGCUCAAUCUGGCCUCUGAUGCAAAGAAUGUCGAUCGAUUGCUGAUGUCUGCCCUGAGUGCUGGAAGGGAGGAUGGCAUUUACUAUCCCUGCCUUAAAUUAGAGGAGCUUAUGGGGUUCUUCCCCAACUAUAACAAGAGGGGUUAAAUGAACACUAAUCAUCUGAUAGGACAGCCACUGAAGGAGGUGAGGGGAAUUUAAGAAGGAAAGGCUGUGACUGCCAAUCUCCUAAUGUCACCUGCAUGGCCGUCAGUCACCUGCAGCCCUUGUCAGUGCACCCAAAGCCUUUGCAGAUGUCAACCCAGCUGGCUUUCCAGCCAUGUCUCACCAUACCCCAGUGCUCCUCUGCUCCAGCCCCACUGAACUCUGCCAGACCUGGACGUGCCCUUAUACAUGUGCUUCCUAGACAUCCCAGAACAUCUGUGCCCAUUGUCUCUGCACAGGGAAUUCUUAUGUAACUCCAUGAACACCUACCCUAAGUGUCACUUCCUGUGAGAAGUCCUCCCUGAUUCACUCCCUCCUCUGUUUACCCACCCACUGGAGACCCAGCUCUGCAUGGCAGUCUUCACACUCUAUCAUCUUUGUCCUUCCUUCUUUUUUUUUUGAGUCAAGCUUUCACUCUGUCGCUCAGGCUGGAGUGUAGAUCACAGCUCGCUGCAGCCUCCAACUCAGCUAAAGCGAUCCUUCCUCCUCAGCCUCCAGAGCAGCUGGGACUACAGGUGCAUGCCACCAUGCCCAGGUAAUUUUUUUCUUUUUUGUAGAGACAGGGUCUUGCAAUGUUGCCCAGGCUGGCCUCGAACUCCUGGCCUCAAGCACCUCCCACUUCGGCCUCCCAAAGUGCUGGGAUUAUAGGCAUGAGCCACUGUGUCCAGCCCAUCCUUGUCCUUUCACAUGUGUCACCUUUCUCGUGAGACUAAGAGGUCUGUGGGAGCAGGGUUAGUGCCUGGUCUCUGUGAUCCAGUCCCCAGCCCCAGGCCUGACACACAGCUGGUGCUCAACAACCACUGGCUGAAUAUUGGAAUGAAUAAAUGAACGAACUUUGUCAGUGUGGCAGAUGCUAUGCCUAUGCUGAGACUGCUGUUUUUUCACAUGCCCCUGCUUCUCCUGUGUUCCUGCAGUAGCACACUGCCGGUGGUAAAUGAAUCCCCAAGUAUGAAUGCUUCACAGAACAAAGUUUAAUUUCCCCUCCCACAAAGUCCAGUGCAGAUUGUGCAGCCCUCCGGAACACUUGUCUUGGUAUUAACCACAUCUUUUAUUUCCUGCAUUCCAAUGCUCUGACAUCUGGGGCCUCGCUGACCCCCUAGAGUUAGCCAAUUUCUAGAGAUACAAGUUGCCAUGACAGCACUUUUCAGAUGCAAACAACCCACCCAAACCAAACAAAGCCUUCUUUUCCCUCCACCUCCUAACUGACCUUGGUGCUUCCCCGUGUGGCUCUGUGUGGCGUGGCAGGCGGUGUCCCCUCCUCCUGGGAACUGCUUCCACUGAGUGACUCAGCGAUCCAGUCUGCUUUCAUAGGUGGCUCUAAUGAGGCAGAAAUUUAAAAAUAAAUAUGCAUUCAUUCACUCCAAGAAAAGUAACAGGCAAGGGUUCACAAGAAAAAAAGAAGUUUUCCUCUGCCUAGCAAGCACACUUCAAGGACAGUUAUAAGAUAAUGCUGUACGAGCAGCCAAGGCCAAAGGAAUGGGCUUCAGACACCCCUCUCCCCCAGAGCAAUGUUGAAGGAAAAAAAAAGAGAAAAAGAUAAAUUACUUUACUGUUACUCCUUUCCCAGGCUUCUUAAACGUGAUUAUGUUUUACAAAUGUCUGUAUUUAGCCAGUUCUUGUUUUUCUUUUGACGCAGCUACAAGGCCACAAAUUAUACACUAUAUGAUUAACUGCUUUUGUUUUACUUUUGUAAGUCUGCUUAUAAAAACCCCACUCAGUCGUUGUUCAAUGCUCAGCUUUUUGGAUGCGAAUCCACUGAGCCAGUGCGUACCUAAAAUAAACAAUCCUCCCGUUCUCCGUAUCGGUCUC